AGAUCGUCCCGAGCGCGCCGCGGUCCAGGCGGGCACAGCGCAGGGUCAAGUUCACGUCCGGCCCGCGGGCUGCCCGAGGUCCCCGGGCGCGGCUGGGGCAGCGGGAGGCGCGGGAGGCCGAGGUCCGGGUGGCCGCCGCGGCCGCCCCCGAAGCGCUGCUGUCACCCCGGCCGCGCCCCCCAACUUUCUGCACAGUCGCGGAGCUGGAAGUUUCCGGGCUUCGCGGACACGCUGGGCUGGGUUUCAGUCGCGGCUCCGAGACAUGAUCCUCUCUGAGGUUGGUCCUGGGCUUCCAUACGUGAUUCAUGGAAGAGGUCUCAGCCCCAAGAGCCCCUGAGGGUACUGUCCACUCCCCCUGGAAACUUCCAGAACCUGACGUGGGGCUGAAGACAUAGAGGCUCUGAGAGUUACAUAAUUGAUUCUGACUUUGGCUGUUGGUCAACAGUGUCAUAAGGCUGUUGUAGAAUCUGCUCAGCCAGGGAGGGGAAAGGAGUCGGCAAUCAGGUCUCCUCCUGGGCACCUUUGUGAGGCCAGCUGGCGAGAGUGGGGGGUGACACUGAGGUCCCAGCAGCUCCAAAUGCAGGCAGAGCCCUGUCCUCAGAGAAGGUCACAGCCUAGCCAAGCCCAGCCAGGUGGAUGGGCCCACGGAACGCACAGGAACCUGGAACGGAGGUUGAAAGCAGGAAGCACAGUCUGUGACUCCCCAGCCCACUCUGCAUUCGACCACUUGGGGCCCAGAAGCUUCAGGAAAGGUGCACAAGGUCACUGGGUCCCAGUACUCCCAACAGGAAGGUCUGGUCCAGGGACAGGGCUCUUCCCGACUCCCCUUAGCCACACGCACCAGAAGUUCUGCAGUGCCCAGUGGGCAUAGCAGUCCCCAAGAAUGACCCAGCACUGAAGCUGAGCCAAAGAACUUGGGGAGCGAGCCACACCCCCUCACUCCCUCUUCGCCUGCUCCAGACUUGCCAGGCGGUUGCUUUUCGUGGGAACCGGGAUGUCCUCACCACCCUGUCCAGGGCCCAGCCCCAUGUCCCUGGCCUGCUACAGCUGGAAAAAAAAAAGAGAGAUGUUUGUUUUUAUUUGUUUAUAAAAAGAAAAGUGUUAUAUAUAUAACAUAUUAUACCUCAUGAAUACAUACAAUUAUUUGUCAAUUAACAAUAAAGAAAAAUACAGCAAGCAAAAAAGACUCUCUUCCACAAAAAUAGUGUUCAUUACAGAAAAGUACAAAAAAAAAAAAAAAAAACUAAGAGGAUAUUUAGAAUUAAGAAAAAACUAAGAGGGUAUUUAGAAUUAAAAAAUAAAAAGAAAACAAUUACCCAUGAGGUAAUUACUGAAUGCAUUUGGUUGAAAGUCCUUCUGCUAUAUUUUCCAAACUGUAUGUGUAUAUAUGUGCGCAUGCAUAUAUGUGUUUGUGUGUGUGUACACAUAUCUAUAUGAAUGGACCAUAUCGUAAGUUAUAAAUGCAUACAUAUAUUCAUGUAUAUAUAAUCAUUAGAUCAUACUAUAGGUUAUUUUACAGUCUUUUUGUUGAAUACGUUGUGAGCAUUUUAUGUCAUUAUUUUCUACAAGAUUUGAAAAAUAAAGUAUAAAUACCAGUUAAUUUUUGAAAUCAACCUUAUUAAGGAAUAAGUUCCAUGCAGCAAAAUCCCUUUCACCUCUACUGUUCGAUGAGUUUUGACAAUGUAUGCAACCGUGACAUGUAUCACCACGAUCAAGAAAGAAAACAUCACCACAAAAUGUUCCCUAGAGCCCCUUGCAGGCAGUCUCUGACUUCCUGGCAGCCAGCAAUCUGAAUCCAACCACCGUAGAUCAGUUUCAAUUUAUUAAAAAAAAAUUUUAACUCAUGGAGUAUGAACUCUUGCUCGGGAUCCUGCUAUCUAUGUUGUUGAGUUUAUCAAUAGCCCAUUCCUUUUUACUGCUACGUGAUAUUUUAUCAUAUGCCUAUUGACAUUUGUUUACCCACUCACAUACUGAUGGACAAUUGAAUUGUUUGUGUUGUCUGUUUGUUUGUUUUUUGAGACAGGGUCUCACUGUCACCCAGGCUGGAGUGCAGUGGUGCAAUCUCGGCUCACUGCAACCUCUGCCUCCCAGGCUCAAGUGAUCCACCUCGGCCUCCCAAAGUGCUGAAAUUACAGGCGUGAGCCACUGUGCCUGGCCUGUUUCUGAUUUUUUAAAAUGUUUGCUAUUGUGACUAGAACUUUGUGAAUGCCAAUUAAUUUUUACAGUGUUUUAAUGAGCAAUGUCACCCGCACGUGCUGUGAAUGCCCACGCAUGUGGGCACAGCCUGUGUGUUUCCUUCCUGGAGCACUUGAGAUGGGGAAACCAAGAGAUGGGGGGUGAAGAAAGGAGCCAGAGGCCACACAGCUGGUUAGGAACAGGCUAGGGGAACCCAGCCUCUAAAUCCCAGUAUUCCAGGACAACAUGCUGCCAUACUCUCACAACACUUGCCUGUAUCAGAAAUGCUUGUAAUUUUCCCACACAGAGAAAUUUCCAUGAAAAUCAAGUUGUGGGCUGAGAGAUGAAAGGCAGCCUCAUGUUAAUUAGGCAGGCUUUGGUUUGGUCCGUCCACCAAGCUCAGGGGUGUGUGUGAAUAUCUCUAUUUUCAUACACACAUGCACACACGCACACACACACACACACACACACACGGACACGUCGCUCACACCCACCAACGCCAGUGGCGAUGAUCCAGUCCAGAUCUUUUCUAUACUGCCUUCAGAGCAC
rnacentral:lncRNA from 1 species